GAAAUACCAUAUGGGAUUCCAAUCAGAAACCAGGAGUAGAGAGGCCGAGGUAUGAGAAAACCUGGUGAACUCAGUCUGACUUUGAGCCAGGACUUGAAGCAGACACUAUGGCUCAUGCAGAAAAGAAACUUCUUCCCACAAGACUGCCAGCGAAAUUUUGCAGACUCAAGAUGUUCGGAGAGUUUGGACAAUCAUCACAGUUUUUGGACGCCUAUCUGAGGUAAACAUAAAGCCAAACCUUGACAGUCUCAUUAGUAGUGUAAGUAUGAUUCAAUAUGAGGAAUUUCUGCUCUUGGCUGGUUGAUAUAAGAUAAUUAUAAGAUUUCUUAAUUGAAAUUUAAUUGGAGAUACAAAGUGAUACAUGGCACUUUGUAAAGCAUCACAGCUAAACAAUUUGCUCCAGUAUACCAGAUGAGCAGAAAACAAAUCAAUACAUUCUUAGAACUGCUAAGUGAAAAUUAUGUAGAAUAAUUGCUUCAAUCAUUGAAAAUACAAUUUUUUAGCAGUAUGUUUGUGUAACCAAAAGUAUGUUAUUAGUUAUUGAGUGAGUAAAGCAUUUGUCAUCACAGUUUGCACUUGAAAGGGUUACAGGUAAGAGCUGUUUUUUGUGCCCAAUUAUUUCCUCAGUCCUGUGUUCUCACCCUAAGCAACUUAAUGAAAUUGGAAAGGCAUAUCCUUUUAGAAAUGUAUCUGUAGUAAAGAUAAUUUGAAAGCACUAAACUCUAGAAAAUCUUUUCCGCUGGGCGCGGUGGCUCACGCCUGUAAUCCCAGCAUUUUGGGAGGCCGAGGCAGCGGAUCACAAGGUCAGGAGAUCAGACCAUCCUGGCUAACACGAUGAAACUGUCUCUACUAAAAAUACAAAAAAAUUAGCCGGGCGUGGUGGCAGGCGCCUAUAGUCCCAGCUACUCGGGAGGCUGAGGCAGGAGAAUAGCUUGAACCCCGGAGGUGGAGCUUGCAGUGAGCCGAGAUCGCGCCACUGCACUCCAGCCUGGGAGACAGAGUGAGACUCCGUCUCAAAAAAAAAAAAAAGAGAGAACCUUUUCAAUGCUGAUGUAGUUAGGCUUUGUGUCUCCACCUAAAUCUCACCUUGAAUUGUAAUCCCAUAAUCCCCAAGUGUCAAGGGAGAGACCAGGUGGAGGUAAUUGAAUCAUGGAGGUCGUUUCCCCCAUGCUGGUCUCGUGAUAGUGAGUGAGUUCUCGCGAGAUCUGAUGGUUUUAUAAGGGGCUCUUCCUCGCUUUGCUUGACAUUUCUUCCUGCCUUGUGCUGCGUUGUGUGGAAGGUGUCUUGCUUUCCCUUUGCCUUCCGCCAUAAUUGUAAGUUUCCUGAGACCUCUCCAGCCAUGAACUGUGAGUCAGUUAAACCUCUUUCCUUUAUAAAUUACCUAAUCUCAGGCAGUUCUUUAUAGCAGUGUGAACACGGUCAAAUACAAAUGCUAGAAUGUUUCAAAAGGUAAUCCCAGGAUGGUAAUAAUGCAGGAGGGCAAUGCUCUGUGGCUUAAUGCCUUAGGUGCCCAGAGACCUUUAUCCUAAACAGAGGGAAAACCUUGUUACAGGGUUUGUUGCAAACUGAGAAGAAAGCCUUCUGUAGCAUGUCAUUUCCUUUCGUUUUGUUUUGCUGGAAGGGCAACAGGAAUCUAUUUGGGUUAAAGGACAGGCAGAAGUGGAACAUCAGAAGUCAGGGGUCUUUUGGGAGAGUCCUGAGUAGCAGGAGUCAUAGAUCUGGAAUAAUUAGAUUAUUAAAAUGAACACUUGAACAAAGGGGAACAGAAAGCUGUUAACCUUAAGAAAAGAUUCCAGACAAUUCUGUUUGACUCUCUUUUUUAUCAAAACAAAUAAAGGAGUAUAAGUUAAAAUGUAUUCAGUGAAGUCUCUAACCGGCACCAAGGUACUGAGAGUUCUUUAAGUGUUCUUGUAAAUUACACACCACGUUGCUUAUGUGAUUAUUAAUGCGAUGAUGUAAUAGUUGUAUUUUUAUGUACAAAGAAUACGAGCCUGGAUUGUGUGCUAAAUUCCUGCUUUUGCUCACUUACCCCUUAUAGACAGCAUAAAGGAGGACUCUUGGUCAGAUAUUUGUAGAGGUGGCUAUAGUUCCCUUUAUUUGCCUAAACUUGCUGAGUUUCUUAAGAGGGAUGCAAUGGGUGUUCAAAUGGAACAAUUCUCACCGUGGUGGCUUCAGUAUUGCAAGGUGUUAAACACCCCAUCCUACUAAAUGCCACAAUCACUUUCCAUCCAUUGUGAUACCCACCAUGUGAUAACUCUGCACAUUUCCAAUCUCUUCUUGGAAAGUGGUAUACGCAUACACCCCUGAAGUCUUCCCCUAGCCCCAGCCACCACCAUAUAAGAACCACUGGCCUAGGAUAUGUGGGUUCGGUUAUCUGAAUCUCAAUUACAGAAAAUCAACAGCACUUCUGGUAGUAGAAGGUAACCCAGUUAAGAAUUAAAAAGUAUAGACUGUAGUUUGAAUACUGAAUCUUUUGGAAAAUCAUUGAAUUAUUUGAACCUCAGUUUACUCAUCUAUUAAGUGGUAAUCCACCCUCUCUCCCAUUUAAGCCACUUAAUUCUUGUGAAAAUCAAGAGAUCUUAUGUACCUUAAAAUACUUUAAAAAAUAUAAAAACCUACAUAAGGAAAUAAUAUAGUCAUUCCUCAGUAUCUAUGGGGGAGUGGUUCCAGGACCUCCCUUGGAUACCAAAAUUCAGAGAUGCUCAAGUUCCUAAUAUAAAAUGAUGUAGUAUUUGCAUAAAACCUAUGCACAUCCUCCAGUAUACCUUAAAUCACUUCUAGAUUACUCAUAAUACCUAAUAUGAUGACUGCUAUGUAAAUAGUUGUUAUACUGUAUUAUUAAGGAAUAAUGACAAGAAAAAAGGUCUGUAAAUGUUCAGUACAGACACCAUUUUUUUUCAAAUAUUUUCAAUCUGAGAUUGGUUGAAUCCACAGAUGCAGAUAUGGAGGUUGUAUUAGGUUGUAUUAGGAAUAAUCCUCAGUAGUCAUUAUCUUUGGGUAAUGCGAUAAAAGACAGCCAAUUAGUAUGAGAUAACCUAUUAUGUAAACUGUUCUAGUAGCUAUAGAGGAUUCAAAGGAAAAUAAGACAGAAUUGGUGCCCCUGUGGCUGUCAUGACAAAGAUACAAUGUAUGUGGUUGAAAAGAUGUCAGUAUGAAGGUAAUAAAUGAUUAGAAGCAGACAUGUGCUAUUACAAUAUGUACUGGAGAAGUUCAGAAGAGAAAAUGUGUUCAGUGGAAGAUACAAAAAGCCAAAAAUGAUGAAGGAACCACUUCCCCUAUUAUACCAUUUGAAAUGAAUAGUUCUUUUUCAUCAUAAUGCAUAUUAGAAAAGUAUCAAUCUUCUCCAUAUGCAUAUUUUAUAGGUCAUAGAUCUUGAGAAUAUAAAUGAUUAACACUUUCUUCUGUGGGAAAUAUUAUCAGAUAACAAUUCAUUUCCCUAAUAAGACAGACAAAUGAUUGAAAGGCAAGAAGGUAUUAGUUUCAUAGUGCCACUGCUGAUAUGUCCUCUGACUGACUCUCAGAUGAACACGUUCGCUGAUGGUGUUUUUGUCUUCCCUGUCUGGUCUCUGGCUCUGGUCUUGCUCCUGGUGGCUUUGGUCUCACCUCUGUGUCCUGACUUCAGCCCAUCUUUUCCUUGAACUUGGUAUUCCUGGUUCAGGAAUUGACCUCAGCUUGGAAUUCUGGAAACUCAUCCCUAAGGGGUGGACUCCUUGACUCCAUGUUUUCUCCAGAAAUCUAGAUAAAGUGCAACCUUGUAAGGGGUCUUCUACCUUUGCCUUGCUUAAGAUGUUAAAAGCCCCUUGGUAAUGAAGAGAUGCCUGUAUGAGAACAACCUGAUGAACCAUAAUAUAUUAUACAAGAUUAUUUGGCCAUUCUAAUAUUUAUUAACCUGAAAUUCCUGAAGAAGAAAUGACAUUGUCAGUUAUCAAAAACUUGCAUUUCAACUCUUCCUUCUUGUCUUCGUCAAUGUGGCAAAUCCUUCUCCUUUUUGGAGAAAAUGUCCUCCUUUAGCUGUGACAUUGAUCUCUCUAGAUCCUCCUUUCCGUAUGAACACUCCUUCUCCCGCAGCACUGGCUUCUCUUCCCUCAGUUUCCCCUGGUGCAGGCUCUCCACAUGGAUCUGUCAUGAGUCCUUUUCUUUCUUGUCUGCUCACCCCAUGGCCCAGCUAUCUCUCCAGUCAACAUCUCUCCCAAGCUCCAGCCCCCAUUUCAGACCACAGGCCAGACCCUUUAUAUGAAUGCUCUUCCUAUACCUCAGACUCAAGUCCGUAACGUAAACAUCGUAUGGACUUCUCCGUAACAUCCAACAGAAAUCUAUUCCUCCUUUGGUCUUUCUCAUCUGAAUGGCAUAAUUAUCUAGUCAUCUAGUCAUUCAGACUUGUAGGAAUCACCUUUAUUGUUUCUUUCUCCUUUAUUCUUAAUUUCAAUAACUCACCAAAUCAUGAAAAAUAUCUUCAAAACAUUCCUUGAUUCAGGCCCCUAAUUUCUAUUACUGUAGGUUCUUCCCCUCUCAGUUUCUCGUCAGUGACUGUUAUAAUAACAUUCUAAUUAGGUAACAGCGUCUAGUCUCUUUGCCUACUAAUUAAUUCUGUCCAUGGAUAGAAUUAAUUAGAAGGGAAAGAUAUUUUUAAAAUAAUUUAGUUAUAAAAGUAAUAAAAGAUGAUCUUAAAAAUUAAAACAACAGCAAGGUAGAAAGUAAAAAGCCAGUCUUCUCCCUCAACUCCCAAAGGUUUGAUGUAUAUUUUUCCAGAUGUCUUUCUAAAACAUAUACACACAAAUAUGCUUUCCAUUAUUGUCCUCGAGGGUUUUAGUGCUUCUGGUGAAAUAUCAGGUGUUAGUCUGAUUCUUCAUUUUGGGUAACCUAUUUUAAUUCUUUAGAAGCUUUUAGAAUUGUCUCUUCAUCUUGAGAUUGCAUCAAGAGCUUUAUUAUUUUUUAAACAUCUAUCCUGCCCAAUGCUUGAUUGAUGUGUCUUUCAAUCAAUCAGAAGGUUCCUGUAUUUCUUCAGCAAAAGCUAAUUUUCUUCUAAUGUUUCUUUCAAUGGUUUCCCUUUCUUUCAUUAUCUGUGAUUUCUUCUUAUGGAAUUCUACUGAAUGCACCUUGGCCUCCAUGAAUCUCCCUCAAGUCUCUAUCCUUUUCCCCUAUUUAUGAUGUCUUUUCCUGUGUGAUCUACAUUUUAAGAAAUGUCAUUUUUUCUUCUACAAGAUAGUUAGCUUUAUCCUCUGAUUUUUCAGACAAUCCUCUGAAAUUUUUACUUACGUAAUUCUAUUCUAAUUUUAUUAUAUCCUACUUUUUCCCAAAGCAAUAUAAUAUUAUUUUUAUUGAUGGUGUAUUUUGUUAAUUGGGAUUUAAAAAUCUUCUCUCCUAAAGUUUUUUCUUGAGAUAACUCAGCUUCUUCUUGGAUUGGUCCUAUUCAUUCAUUUUGGUAGAGAUAGAGAGGCCAAGUUCUUGUUUUCCUAUAAUACCUGGCUAUUCUGAUAGUUAGAUUAUGUUUAUGAAUGAAGACUUAGGAUGACUGGUAUAAGUAAUGUGCUAUGUUUCCUCUGAAGUAGUGAAGAUCUGAUUUCCCUGUAGAGAAUAAGAGUAGGGCUUUUGGAGAACGAGAUCAUAUCCCUUGCAGGGAUGUGCAUGGAGCUGGAGGCUGUUAGCAAACUUGCACAGGA